GGUCUGGUAGUUCAGUUGGUUAGAAUAUCUGCCUGUCACGCAGGGGGUCGCGGGUUCGAGUCCCGUCCAGACCG
rfam:Winogradskyella sp. J14-2, complete genome.